rnacentral:rRNA from 1 species
UUUAUUGGAGAGUUUGAUCCUGGCUCAGGAUGAACGCUGGCGGCGUGCCUAAUACAUGCAAGUCGAGCGAAUGGAUUGAGAGCUUGCUCUCAAGAAGU